rnacentral:rRNA from 1 species
UACGUAGGCAGCGAGCGUUGUUCGGAGUUACUGGGCGUAAAGGGUGUGUAGGCGGUUGUUUAAGUUUGGUGUGAAAUCUCCCGGCUCAACUGGGAGGGUGCGCCGAAUACUGAAUGACUUGGAGUGCGGGAGAGGUGAGUGGAAUUCCUGGUGUAGCGGUGAAAUGCGUAGAUAUCAGGAGGAACACCGGUGGUGUAGACGGCUCAGCUGGACCGUAACUGACGCUGAGACACGAAAGCGUGGGUAGCAAACAGG